GAUGAACGCUGGCGGCGUGCCUAAUACAUGCAAGUCGAGCGAACAGACGAGGAGCUUGCUCCUCUGACGUUAGCGGCGGACGGGUGAGUAACACGUGGAUAACCUACCUAUAAGACUGGGAUAACUUCGGGAAACCGGAGCUAAUACCGGAUAAUAUAUUGAACCGCAUGGUUCAAUAGUGAAAGACGGUUUUGCUGUCACUUAUAGAUGGAUCCGCGCCGCAUUAGCUAGUUGGUAAGGUAACGGCUUACCAAGGCAACGAUGCGUAGCCGACCUGAGAGGGUGAUCGGCCACACUGGAACUGAGACACGGUCCAGACUCCUACGGGAGGCAGCAGUAGGGAAUCUUCCGCAAUGGGCGAAAGCCUGACGGAGCAACGCCGCGUGAGUGAUGAAGGUCUUCGGAUCGUAAAACUCUGUUAUUAGGGAGGAACAAAUGUGUAAGUAACUAUGCACGUCUUGACGGUACCUAAUCAGAAAGCCACGGCUAACUACGUGCCAGCAGCCGCGGUAAUACGUAGGUGGCAAGCGUUAUCCGGAAUUAUUGGGCGUAAAGCGCGCGUAGGCGGUUUUUUAAGUCUGAUGUGAAAGCCCACGGCUCAACCGUGGAGGGUCAUUGGAAACUGGAAAACUUGAGUGCAGAAGAGGAAAGUGGAAUUCCAUGUGUAGCGGUGAAAUGCGCAGAGAUAUGGAGGAACACCAGUGGCGAAGGCGACUUUCUGGUCUGUAACUGACGCUGAUGUGCGAAAGCGUGGGGAUCAAACAGG
rnacentral:rRNA from 1 species